CAGGGAACUAAUACCUAGAAGGACUAUGAGGAUAUCUGCAAACAAUUUUGAACACGAGAGUGAUAAGCUCAAGAUGGUGGCCAUGAUCUGGGAAAAUGUGCACAGAAAGACAUUCUUGGAGUUCAACAUCGUUGAAGCUACCACAUGCGCACAUGUAAGAAUGAUUUGGAUUUCACCAGGAAAAAGGAAGUGCAGAGAACAGGUGAUGGUUGGUCAUUCUCCAACAUAGCAUACAGAGGGACUUUCCAAAUCAAUCACAAAUUUUAUCAGAUGGAGCUCCUUCAAGCAGCUGAAAAGCCUUGUAUUUUCUCACCAAUUUGCACAAAUGGAACCUCUGAAUGAAGCUCCCCCUGGAUGCCAAACUUGCUGGAUAUUUCACCAACUCAAAUGGCUGCAACACUGAAGAAUGUACCGUUCUCCAAUGGCUUGAAGAACGAAACCCUUGGCUUCCUUCUCUCAGACAAUUUCAUCAAAACAAAUGCUCAAGAAUGAAUGGCUCAAUUCCCAAGGCUGAAUAUAUAUAACGUCAUGAAGAAGUUGAUUUCCUUCCAAAAGCACAUUUAAUAAUAAUUAAAUGUUAUUACAUUUGCAUCUUUUAAUAUUUAAUAUUAAUACCUUGGUCUUGGUGCCUCAUAAAUUAAUUCAAUAAAUGGCCCCCUUUAAUGAUGACUUGACCCUCAAAUUAUAAAGUUAAGUUAUAACUUUAUAAUAUCACUUUUAAUUAUUUCAUUAUCAUUCUAGCCAUUAAAACAUUAAUAUCUCUUAUAAUAAUAAUUAUUUCUUCAUUUUGUAUGCACCGGGGAGUUGACCAUUUUAUCCUCUGUCCGACCCACUGACUUACAAAAAAUAGAAAGGGUCCCUUUCGAGCGUCUUCUGACUUACUAU